rnacentral:rRNA from 2 species
UUGCCUGACGACCAUAGAGUAUUGGAACCACCUGAUCCCAUGCCGAACUCAGAAGUGAAACAGUACAUCGCCGAUGGUAGUGUGGGGCUUCCCCAUGCGAGAGUAGGUCAUCGUCAGGCUC